AGUGAACGCUGGCGGUAGGCCUAACACAUGCAAGUCGAACGGCAGCACAGUAAGAGCUUGCUCUUACGGGUGGCGAGUGGCGGACGGGUGAGGAAUACAUCGGAAUCUACUUUUUCGUGGGGGAUAACGUAGGGAAACUUACGCUAAUACCGCAUACGACCUACGGGUGAAAGCAGGGGAUCUUCGCACCUUGCGCGAUUGAAUGAGCCGAUGUCGGAUUAGCUAGUUGGCGGGGUAAAGGCCCACCAAGGCGACGAUCCGUAGCUGGUCUGAGAGGAUGAUCAGCCACACUGGAGCUGAGACACGGUCCAGACUCCUACGGGAGGCAGCAGUGGGGAAUAUUGGACAAUGGGCGCAAGCCUGAUCCAGCCGUACCGCGUGGGUGAAGAAGGCCUUCGGGUUGGAAAGCCCUUUUGUUGGGAAAGAAAAGCAGCAGGUUAAUACCCCGCUGUUCUGACGGUACCCAAUGAAUAAGCACCGGCUAACUUCGUG
rnacentral:rRNA from 1 species